rnacentral:lncRNA from 1 species
GUUAAAGUUGCAUGCCAUCACACAUGGCUCAUUUUUUUUUUACACUUAUUUUUUUCUUUUUGUCAUGUGCAGGUGUGUGCACCUAUCAUAUCAUGAGUGUGGAGGUCAAAGGGCAUCUCCUUCUGCCAUCUAGAUCCCAGAAAUGAACUCAGGUCUCCAGGCGUGGUGGUUAGUGCUUUUACCAACUGAGCCAUCCUGCUGGCCUGUGGUUGUUGCUUUGGGUGCUUCAUUGCCUUGUUCCUUAAGGCAUCAGAGGGGUCUCUGUGUCAUCACUGAUGUGCCCGGAAGAGUGCCCGGUGGGCAGUGUGUGGCUUUAGUUACUACCACAGGAGGUUUCAGGAAUAUGAGACAGCUUUGCUGUUUUCCAUGUGUUUAUAACUCUUCGCUUCUUCAAGUUAGAAAUGGAUUAUGGUUUUGCACUGAGUCAGGGGAAAAAAAAAACCCAACAAAACCAACCAACCACUGGUCCUUUCAUCUGUUCUUUGUUUUUCUGUUUGUGUUUUUGAAUAGCCAGUCUCUCGGCUGGGUUUUUUUCUUUCUUUCUUUAUUUCAUAUUGGUCAGGGAAGGAUUGGGGUUUAAUUUGCCUUUUAUAAUCUCAGUGCUCAGCAUGUUGAGCCCCUGCAGAAAAGAGGCAUUCACUAAAUAUUUGUCCAAUCAAUGGAUAUUGGAAGGAUCAACUUUUUAUGGCAGACAAGGGAGGCGGUGGGAGCUGCCUUUUGACUGGAAAGACAUUGUUUAUUAGAUCUGUAUGGCUCAUUUAGAAAGUAUGCAGUUGGAUAUCUUUUAUGGUCAAAGAAGAAAAUCAGUAUCAAAUGCUUAAUUAAAAGCAGAGGCCAACAUUUCCCCCUUGUAAUGAAGACAGGAUUGUGAAUAUUUUCCUUUCCUUGGCCCAGGAGAUGGGCAGGGAGCCAGGCCAAGAAUCAGGGGACAUUGUAGGGACAGAUAAGAAGGCUGACUUACAGGCAUGGGUUGCUCAGUGUUGAACAUUUGAGAGAUGUUCUAGGACAGUGCCACCUCCUUUCAGAUGUCUGUGCCCUGUGGCUUAUGAGACCACUGCUAUGUGACCUUAUUACAAUUCUGGCACUUACUGUCCCAUGGGGAGUGACUUUUCCAUUGGCAGUUAAGAGCUCCCAAGGGGCUUUGAACUCUCCCUUCUUCUUGGUGCUCUAUUGCCUGGCAUGGAGGAGUCUUUUAGUCAAUGUGAUACCCAGAAGUCUUUCUUGGCACCAGCAGCAUCGAUCUACACCCAGUUCUGAAAUGGCUGAGGACCAGAAGCUGGGAUCACAGUAAUGGCCAUGAUGCUGAGCUCUGCCUGAUCAGUGCAGGGUUGUGCUUCUUCGGUGUCAGCAGGCCAUUUUCACCUGUGUGACCUGGAGUUCCUUAGAGACACAUGGGCAGACCUGUCCAGACACACGGAGUCAGACAGGAGGCGUGGUGCACUCACCUGCUCCUGAAUGAGCAGCCUAGACCUUUAAGCUGGAUAGUCUGGAUUUUUGCCAUUCUAGCAUGUAGCAUGGCUGCGGCUCCAUCCUUGAAUCCCAUACCUGUCUGGAAGAAAAUGUGACUCAAAUCUUUUUCUUAAAUCUUAGAUUUACUUUUUCCUCCUCUAUUUAUAGAAUGUGUAUUUAGCUGUUUUUUUUUUCUCCUUUUAUUUUAGGAUGAGGAAUGAACAAAGUGAGUAUAAUAUCUUUAGCAUAUAAUAGGAUUUUUUUAAAGACCUAGUUCAUUCUCUCUCUCUCUCUCUCUCUCUCUCUCUCUCUCUCUCUCUCUCUGUGUGUGUGUGUGUGUGUGUGUGUGCUCAUGUGCAUGUGAGUGCAUGUGAGUGCAAAUGCCCACAGAGGCCAGAGGCAACAGAUGCUCCUGCAGCAGGAGUUUCAAACAGCUUGAACCUACUGAUGUGGAUGCUGAGAACGCAGCUGGGGUCCUGGACCAGAGCACUCCCUGAUCUCCACUGCUGCUUCAUAUCAUAGCCCCUACCAUAGGAGCUUCAUACUAAUUAAUUCAUUAAUUAUUGCUUCAUCUGAGCCUUGGUAUGACUACUUAUCAUAGGAGAAUUACUGCACCUUUAAAAAGAACAAUGUUGUGCUUCACAGCACACCUGAAAGCUCUAGAACAAAAAGAAGCAAAUACACCCAAGAUGGCAGGAAAUAAUCAAACUCAGGGCUGAAAUCAACC